AUGUCCUCGCCUGGCGGGUCGCAGUCUCUUCUUUGUGUGACGCCGCCAACGAUCAUCGGCGCUAUCACCUUCCUCACGCUAGCUCAUCGCCAAGCUCUUCAAGGAGGACGCCGGAGUGCCACUUCUCGGCAUCUGUACACCGCCAUCAAAUUCGGCCGGGUCAUCAACCAUCUCGUCCACCUCGUGGGCGACGCCCUAACGCUCGCCGUCCUCGUCGAGCCACUGGAGAAACUGUCCACCGGGCGCCAUCACAUGUCGAGAUACGUCGGCGCCCUCAUCUUGCUGCCGACAUCCACGAUACCUUCGCCGGCGGCGUUGUCAUCUUCCCCACGCUUGUCGACAAGCUAUUCGAGGAGAAUGCAGAAGCGUCACCGCUCGACACCCUGCACGCUGUCGUCGAGUACGCUGGGAAUUGCCGGAGCAGCCGCAGUCGUCGCCAAGCCAUCCCUGAUCCAGGAGGUCAUGUUGGAGCCAACGCCACUGUUGAUCAACGCCUGGGGAUCUAGGAACAAGGUGUGGGACGGCGGACGAGACUUUGGCCCUCGCGUCGCCCUCGCGCGGCGGCUCGGGGGUGAAACCCUAGCCGCCGCCGCCCCUCCUCCUCCCUCCUCCCUGCUUCGCCGCCGCCGGAGCUCGUCGCCGGCAAAGCCGGGCAACGCGCUGGGAUGGCGGCAGCGGGGUAAUCUCCCUCGGCUCCAUCUCGCCCCGGUGCGGGUGUGGCGACGAUGGCGGCGGGACGGCGAGGUCGCGGUGAUGGCGUGGUGGUGGGGCUCCCCGCGGCGAUGGCAGCGCGGCGGUAGGGCUCUGCGUGGCUCCGUUGAGGGCGUCGCCAGAUCUGGUAGCCCCGCCAGAUCUGGCCGGGGUACGACGGCGGCGCGGCGGCGGGUCUCGGCGUGGCCGGCGACGGUCUCGGUCGACGCCGGCGCCCUCGGACGUAGCAGGUGGCCAGCAGCUUCGGCGCGGUUUCGUCGGCGACGACAGCACCGGGUCGGCGGCGGCUCUUCGGUCGGCGGCGGUGCUCCGGCGCCGGCUGCCGCGUGGUCCUGGCCAGGGGCUGCCGGCCUGCUGCGGCUUUUGCCGGCGACGGGGAAGGCGCCUCCAUCUCCCUCCCUCCUGGUCCUCCAGAUCCGGUUCUCCCCUUCUUCAGUGGUGUUUCUUCCGGUGCUCUCUGACGCUGGGUUCCUGGGUGUGAGGUGGUCUCUGGUCGAGCUGCAGGGUUGGCUGUUGAGGUGGAGUCGGAGCUGCUUGUCUUGCAAGCUCGGCAACGAUGACCCUCAACGAACGUCCUGGCAACGCGACGAGGGUUUUGAGGUGGAGCAACUUGAGAGAGCCUUAGGUGAAAACCUUGCCUAGUGCUAUCCUA
rnacentral:lncRNA from 1 species